UACGAAGGGGGCUAGCGUUGUUCGGAAUUACUGGGCGUAAAGGGCGCGUAGGCGGCGUGUCAAGUCAGGCGUGAAAGCCCCGGGCUCAACCUGGGAACCGCGCUUGAGACUGGCAUGCUCGAGUUCGGGAGAGGAUGGUGGAAUUCCCAGUGUAGAGGUGAAAUUCGUAGAUAUUGGGAAGAACACCGAUGGCGAAGGCAGCCAUCUGGACCGACACUGACGCUGAGGCG
rnacentral:rRNA from 1 species